ensembl:lncRNA
UAUGUUUAUUUUUUUUUUAAGUGUCUUUAUGUUGUGAGAGAGAACGAAUGCAGGAGAGGGGCAGAGAGAGAGAGAGGGAGAAGGAGAGAGAGAAUCCCAAGCAGGCUCUGCGCUGUCAGGCAGAGCCGGACAUGGGGCUUGAAUUCACCAACUGCAAGAUCAUGACCUGAGCCGAAAUCAAGGGUCGGAUGCUCAACCGACUGAGCCCCCUCAGGCGCCCCUAUUAGUGCCAUUUUAAAAGCAAGGAGUCCGAGGCUGAAGGAGAUUAUGAGUUGUCCAAGGUCAUGUGAUUAGACAUGACAGAACCAGCACUAGGACCCAGGAGCCCACACUGCUGUCAUUCUGAGGACAGACCUGCAGACUGCAGGGGUCAUCAUUCAUUCACUCACCAAACAUUCAUCUAGAGCCAGAGCGAGGCUUUGUGGCAGAUUUAACAAUAAGUCCCAGAAAGGAGCCUCCUAAUGCCCGAAACUUCAGGCGCAAACACAAGGGGAGUAUUUUUCAUCGUAAAUCAACGUGACCAGCUCACGCACAGACACCAUUAAGCCAACAAUCUAUUUGAGCACAGGGAGGUUCUCGCACACCUCGCUGCAUCUUUUAAUGUCACUGUGGGGAGUUCGUGCUGAUUCUCCAACCCACCUGAAAGGUGUGAUUUUUGCUGCACUAUUUGUACCAACCAUUUGGGUCAGGCCAACCUGCCAAGGAACUACUGGCCAAAGGGGCUGAUGGGCAGGAAGGACCAUGCAGGCAAAGUCACUUCACUCAAGAUGCUGUGAAUCCCAGAUGGAGGUAUGCGAGCUUUGAAUUUGGCUGCCUAGUGCCACUGUGAGAUGCCCACCUCGAGGACAUGACCUGGCAUCUUUCUUCAAUGGAGCUGCCAUAUUAGAAGGCUCUGGGACUCCUCUCUGCUUCCCAUGCUGACAGUUGAGUGACAGCAGAGAGGCAAGCCACAGGAAGGCAGUGGCCCAGCUUGUUCCCCUACACCAGCGGUGUCUGGAGUUGGGGUCGAGGGUCAGAGAGUCUUCUAGUUGCGGUUCGAUGUAUGGGGUUUCCAUGCAAGAUUCUGUUUGAAGAAGGUUUCCAUAGUGAAAACAAUUUUAGAGUUUUAAAACCACAAACUUACAUAACCUCUGAGAUUUUCUUCCGUCUGUGACACGGUAUCACUUUACAAUCCUAUAGAACUCCAGUGCGCCAGCAGUCUCGGACAGGGUAGCUUCUCUGAAAAGCACUCUAAUGCUAUUUAUGGCUUGCAGCAGCCAUUUUACCCUCUAAACUCCUAAAGAGUAUUCUUACUGAAUGACCUUUCUGUUCCCCCAAAGCUGCGUGCUUGGUGCUGGGGAGACCAUGACCCUGGGGCUAGCUAAGGAGUAAAAUAGCCUGUCCAUCUGCUUGCCCUCCCAGGCCUUGGCUAGGCUUCCAGGAAAGGCCCAGGGUUAUUUCUCAGAGUGACUGCUUACCAAAAACUCUGCCAGCAGCUGGAAAUUCUCUAUAGUGUAGUGUAGUGUGUAUUAUAGAAUACUAUAGUAUACUAUAGAAUACUAUAGAAUAGUAUAGUAUAGUAUAGUAUACUAUAGAAUAUUAUAGAAUAGUAUAGUAUCGAAUAGCUUAGCAUAGUAUAGAAUAGUAUAGUAUAGUAUAGUAUAGUAUAGUAUAGUAUAGUAUAGUAUAGUAUAGUAUAGUAUAGUAUAGUAUAGUAUAGUAUAGUAUAGUAUAGUAUAGUAUAGUAUAGUAUAGUAUAGUAUAGUAUAGUAUAGUAUAGUAUCGAAUAGCUUAGCAUAGUAUAGUAUAGUAUAGUAUAGUAUAGUAUACAGGUGAGGAAAAACUGAGUCUUGGAUUAGUUGAAAGCUUGGAUGGCCUCCCAAGAAUGCUGGGGUAGAACAAUCUGGAUUUAGUCCUUAGGCCUGGGAUUAAAGGUACAGUUUAUUAUCAUUCCAGGAUUUAUGGUGGAACAGUACCUACCUCCAUGGGAUAUCACCAUGGAUGUAAGCAUAAAGAGUCACAGGUUAUUUUAAUGUUAAAUUUUGAUCUUUUUUUUUUCUGGUAAAAUGGAAGUCUCUUUCAGAUUAUGUACACUUACACAUAUAAAACUUUCAGAACAAUGCCUGCCCCAUAGCCUAAUAAAUGCUAAUAACAUUCUCCA